GGCCUGGAGAGUCUCGUCUCCACCCUCUCUAAUUCAGCUUCUCUUUCCACCCAUCAGAGCUACAGGCUAUUAUCUCCUUCUGCUUUUCCUCUGCAGGAUUAAAUGGAUAAGGCUUCAUUGCAUUGGUGAGGUAACCUCCCCUCCAAAUUUUAGGGGGUGAUUUCUCAAUCAUCAGUUUUGUCAGCACUAUACUAGUGGCGAUCACUAGUAAAGAACUAAAAAAAACCAGAGAAAAUGUUUAAAGACCAUGGCAGUUUCGGCAAUUUACCAUGAGACACAAGCUUUCCAUGAGAA